GACGAGCGCGCCGCGCCCGCGCUGCUGCCCGCCGCCGCCGACAGCGCUCUGGACGCGCCGCUGUACGUGGGCGGACUACCGGAAGGAGCAAGCGAGCUGGCGGAAGGUCGGGAGAACUUCAAAGGUUGCGUCCGUGACGUCAUAGUGGGGGGCACGGCCCGCGAGUGGAAACACGCGCGGUCCAUCCACAACGUGCUGCUGGACUCCUGCCCCGUGGCGCAGUGAUACAGGACAUAUACACUGGUGUAUUUUAGAUGAAAGAAAUAUUCCAAUCAUCCAAACUAAUGGUAGGUGUCCACUGAGCAUCGUACGUUCGGACGCAUCGCUCGAUCGAUCGAUUAGUGGACACAUUUUUAUGACUUUCUAUACAAAUUGGCAAAUUCGUUCGUAACACUCCCGAUCAUACGCAGGGCCGGGAGGUGGUGGCUAUGACAGAUAAACCCACAACUGUUGCACCCCACUUCCAGCCUCGGUCUCGCGACUUCACACCCGCGCAGUCCUUCCCUCCCCGUCCCCCGCAUAUCAUGGGAGUGUUAUCAAUGAACUUGCCAAAAGGCAGAGUUCACAUUAAAUACAGCGGUGCACUUGUACCUAUUAUGUCAAAGUGUUUACAAAUAAUUAUAGUCAAGUCUACGUAAACGCUUUUGUAAAUGUAAAUUUGUAUAAUCAAAGUCUUGAAUCUGUAAAUGAUAUGGAAUCAAAGUCAAGUCGAUGCGAAGAGUUCUUCGUAAAUCAUCGUUGAACCAAAGUAGAAUUUAGGCAGUCGUUUUAUGUCGAGGACUUUACACCUUUUUUACGACUAACUGACAUAUUUACUUGUAGGACUGAGUUCCUAUGUCAGUCACACAUCCAUUUACCGACUUCAGUAAACAUUACGAACAGAUGCAUAAUAUAUUAUUCUAUAAGCGAACGAGGCUAUGUCUAGAGGCUGAUAUACUUCUGCAUUUUGUAUAUCAAUAAUUAGGUAUAUUGUAAAUAAUUUAUUCAUAAGCUUUAUAAUAAAUCUAAGCAAGUAGUCAUAUUUCAAGUACAAUUACACAAUAAUUAUCUGUGCCAUUCCUUUUAUUUGCUUCAUAUAAAAUAAUUGACGCCAUUUUUUAAAAUAGGACGAAUGUGACGCCACGCAACUUGACGCCAUGCGUCUGCGAUGUACAUCGAAAUAUUAAUCAACAUAUUCUAUCGUCACUUCGUUGACCUCCGAUCUAAAUCACUUUGACUGGAAGCUCAUACCUUAAUAAUUAGAAAUUUCUACCUUUAUUAGAAUAAAGGUCCUGUUAUUGCAUACAAUUGAAAAUUAUGUUAACCAAAAUGACAGUUGUUUCCGCAGAUACAAUAAUAAACAGAGAUGAUUCUUGGUUUCUCGGUAUAUUAAAGUUGUCAAAUAAUUGAAUACUUCAUACGCAAUUGUUAUAAUUUUUUAUCAAACGUAUUAAAUACUCAUAUAAUGUAAAUAUAUGAUAGUACUAACAUCAAGCAGUAUUCGUUUUCUAUUGUAAACUGUAAAUAUAAUAUUAUUAAGUAAUUCGUGUGAUUAUUAUAAAUUAUUGCAAAGUAGCACUAAUAAAUAGAUGUAACAAUAGCUGUAUGAAUAGGUACUUAAUUAAACUUCCAUAUAACUCGCAUGCAUGUCUUUUUAAAUCAGUGAAUGUUGACUGUACCUAAUAGUACAAAAUUAUAAAAAAAAUAUUUCACUUACCAUCAUUUUUGGAUUUGAUAACUUGCAUUUAAAAAGUUUUAGUCAUUAUUAUAAAUAUUAAAUGUAUUUCUUAUGCUAAUUAUAGUAAUUGGAAUAUGUAGGUUAGGCAAUCUAGUUUUGUUUAAUUAAAUUGUGAAUGUUGUACAUAGGUAAUGAUUUGCUAUACAGCUUUAAUAGAUAAUUAACAGUAACACUAUACCUAUACUUAAGCAUUUUUGUAAGCUACAUUUACGUACAUCUGUUAUUUAUCAUGAUACGUCUGAUAUUCUGAAGUUCUAAAUAAAUUGCAUAUAGAUGGAUGAGCAACGCAAAAUACAAAUGAUUUUCCGAUACACCGUUAAGGUGAUUUAUUUAUCCUGCCAACCUCGCCAUGAUCAAUACAUAAUUUAGCUAAUCAAGGUACGCUGAAAUUGCCCAGCAAAUUAAAAAACAAUCAGAUUGAUACUUUCAAUUUAAUUUUUUUAGUAGAAAUUUGGUUUAAUUAGCCGGGCGAUUAGUUUCAACUUUUCUACCGACCAUGAUAUGUCCUUGGACCUCGUGGUGGUUGGGUGAUAAAUAUUUUAUAAAAAAUAUACAGCCCAAAAGAAAGCUCAUGAAUAGGUUUUUGUAGAACAAAAACUUAAUUGAAAUCAAGUGGUAACCUUGUCGGAAAAAUUGGGGGGUAAUGAAAAAAAAAUGCUAUAAGACUCAUGGACGCGCCACAAUUGCUAAAUCCACGCUUCGUGACGCCAUGCUACGCGGCAAUUUGGGUCAACAAUCAGUGGCUUCAGUUUUAGCGAAAAUCGUGGCGUCAAUUUCAAAUUCAAUUAACUAAUAGGCAGGGUGUUGCCAUAAAAUAUUCGCUAUGAAUGGCAUAAAGUUUCACUCUAGAAAAUAAGAUUCGUGUUCAAUAGUUUAAAACAUAAAAUACUUAAGUUUAGUGUAAAUAAUAAUUGCCGUAUUUAUUGUAAUUUGUAUGAGAUUCGUAAAUAAAAGCCCACUUUGGCAAUAAAAAACAUUUAUUUUCUUUUAUUCAUAAGUGUCAUUACAUCACAAACCGCUUCCACGUUAUUGGUUUAUGACUCGAAAGAGUUUUUGUUAAUGUAUUUUUUUUAAUAAAACAUUAUAUUUUAUUCGUUAUAAUAUAUGGCUACAAUUAAACAAGUAACAUCUAAAUUAGCAAUCAAUUUUUGCAAUAAAAUUUAACAAAAGACUUAAAAAAUUGACACGGUUUUCUGAAAAAACAAAUUAAAACGUUUCAAUUAGGUAAUUAAUUAAGGGUAAGAAAUAACUAUCUUUUUCCAACGAGUCAUAAGUCAAUCAGCCCUAUUGCCCCCCUGUCAGAAUCCCCGACCCUUAGCAGCAAUCCAUACUGUCUUAGGAUGCUUUCUGGAAAAUUUUGCAAUUAAAACACACAGACUAAAGAGCAAAAAUAGAGGGAGCGAAUAAAGAGUAUCGUAUUCACACACAUAACGGCGGAACUAAACUGUAAAAUUGGAUUUAUGUGGGUUUAUAAUUAUGUAAAAAGGAUCGCAAACAGCAUUUAUCAAAUGUGCGUGAGUCAAGACCAGAUGGCCCUGAUAUGAACAAUAAACGAAUUCUUACCAAUUUCAAGUGAUUCAUAUAGCUUUAAGUACAA
rnacentral:lncRNA from 1 species